UCUUCCCUUAAAGUCAGGGAGUUUCUUUGCGGGCUGAGAGUGUGCAGGGGCCGACCCUAACCCCAUCCAUCCAGCACUGCCUGGUCUGCUGCUCCUGUCACCCUAUCUGAAACGCACAGAGCCAACAAGUGGUACGGGGUGGCCUGCCUGAUCACCAGGUGCUGCUGGGGAGCCCGGCUGCCUCCUUUGCCUUCCAGUCACGCUAGCAGUGUGGUUGGAUAGAGAAAGGGAGCUUGUCUGCAGUGCCCUGGGGAAAUGGGGCUGCGCAUGGGCUGGGGGCCAGGGAGGCUGGAAGGCAGCAGCCUUUGCACUGGCUUUGCUGUACUCUGAGCUCCAGCACCAAAGUCUCUCUUACAGCAGCAGCUCUGCAAAAAAGAUUCAUCGUGCGAUGCUGGCAAAGGAGGAGGGGCUGUGCUGUUCUCUGCGUUGUACCCUGGCACCAGAGCAGAGCAUGGGGUUGUACAGCCAGGUUUGAGACGCAGCCGGACCCCACAGCAGGUUGUUUUUUGAGUAAGGGUAGUGUUGGCUUUGCUCUGGUCCAUGUGGCUGCUUUGUUCACUCUGAAGCGUACUGAUGGCUGUAGGAGUGCCAUGGCUCUCACUGCUGCUCCUCUUAGGAGACUUGAGAUGGGACAGAGGGUGUGUUUAGGGUCAAAGCUGGCAUCAGAGCUAUGGGAAAUGUGUGGGUUUUGUACCAUCCAAUCCCCCCCAGUAGCCUUAAUGCCACACCGAGGUAUUUCUCCCAGCCUCCAGUUGGGCAAUUUUAUUUUCAAGAGAUUUCCCAGAGGGAAGCCACAGCUGUACAAGCACUUCCUCCCCCUGCAGCACCCUCUUCUCCUCCUGGAUGAACCCCAGUGGGGCUGUGCUGUGCUGGGGUGGCUUUUCACUGCCGUGGUGUGACAAUGGCAGCACCCAGGUCAGGAGCUGCAUCCUUGAGCCCACGUGGUCGCUCAGUCCCGGGGGUCCCGGCUGCACGGCCGCCGAAACUCCUGCCCGUACUCAUGGAUCCACUUGUUUGCCACCCACUUGUCCCCAGCCAGCACGGGGCAUCCAGCAUGUAGGGUGUCCCCAUCACCAUCACCGUUCCUUCGUAGGUUCCACCAGAACAGGGCUGCAUUCUUAACUACUGGCACACUGAAGUUGGCGUAGAUGAAGGCAGUGGAGCCACCCGCCUCCACCGCGCUCAGAUAGAUCAUGACCGUGGCGAUCCUGUUGCCCGACUUCAUUCUGUAGAGGGGGCUCUUCCUGGACGUGGCGUGGUCGAAGUGGGGCUCGUAGUGGCCGCCCAGCCCAUAGUUGACCACCUGCAGGUACUCAGCGUAGGGUGGCCGCAGAUCCAGGCCGGUGAUGGCUGCCAUGCGCAGCUCCAGCGCCUGCACCACGGGGUCGGCCGUGUCCUUCAGCCAGGCACUCUUGCUUAUCCGGUACUCUACUUUCUGCUGCUUCUCUCCAGAGGCGACCACAGACCUCUGCAGCCAGGGCCCUGCCAGUCCCUUAAUGGUCUCAGCCUCGGCAUCGCUGACAAAGUCGUGGUACAGCACAAUGUAGGGCUGGAGCCGCAGCGUCUCCUUCUUGGCAGGCUGCAGCAGGAGGUAGGGGCUGCCAUUGGUCUCAUAGGAACAGCCAAGGUGUGAGGGCCGCUCCGGGGCCAUCUGUGCCCCCAGGCCCUGGCACAGCUCCUCGUAGGCAUCCCGGUUCUGCAGCUGGGUGACAUUGGGGCGCUGCAGGGGUGCCCCCACGCGGUCCCCAUGUGUUGCCAGCAGCUUCUCAUACUUGGCCACGUUCCUCGUCACCCUCUGGUUGCUGGGAUCAUAGUGAAGAAACUCCCUGGAGAGAGUCAAUGCAUGGGAGAUGUUUCCAGCCAUGAAGUAGGAGAAGGCGAGGUAGUCCAGCGCAUCCUCCAGGCUGCCCCGCUCCUCCUCCGGGUUCCAGCUGCCAUAGGAGAGGCGAAAACGGCUGACGGCCUCUUCCAGCCAUGCAAUGGAGUGGUAGUAGUCACCUGUGUCAUAGGCCACCUUGCCCACAUGGAAGCAGUCAUCGGCCGAGAGUGAGACACGCCUGCCAGGGCUGUACAGGGGUGGGCGGUCGGUGCUGGUGGGCUGGAAGAGGCCAUUGGCCAUUCCCUUGACGCUGAGUGCGUAGACAUCCUGCAGCCGCAUCAGCGCCCGCGCCGCCCCGUCCAGGUCCUCAGCUCCAGGCAGCUCCCGUUGCAACUCCUGGAAUCCAACAUGGAGCGCACGGCUGUUUUCGGUGGCCUCGCUGCUGUACACAACGCUGGGCCAGUCGGAGCUCAGGCGUUUGAUGAGGCUGAAGGCCAACAAGGGGUUGUCCACCGAGGCUCCGGGGUCCUGGUGCAGUGCCCGGACCUUCUCAUAGAACCUGCUCAGGCGGCGGAGCCGGGUGCUCUCCUCCCGGAGGUACGCACGGAGCCGCCGCAGCAGCCGCCCCUCAUUGCCCCGCGCCUGACGGACGCUGCGCAGCGCUGAGAAGGUGUCGGUGUGGGCGGGGGGCAGCCAGGCCAGCAGGGCCCCCAGCCCCAGCACCCCCACGGCCCGCAUCCCCCUCCCGGAGGCCGGAGUGGGAGGGAAGGAUGGAGGGAGG
rnacentral:lncRNA from 1 species